ACGGUCCUAAGGUAGCGAAAUUCCUUGUCGGGUAAGUUCCGACCUGCACGAAUGGCAUAAUGAUGGCCAGGCUGUCUCCACCCGAGACUCAGUGAAAUUGAAAUCGCCGUGAAGAUGCGGUGUACCCGCGGCUAGACGGAAAGACCCCGUGAACCUUUACUAUAGCUUGACACUGAACAUUGAAUUUUGAUGUGUAGGAUAGGUGGGAGACUUUGAAGUAGUCACGCCAGUGAUUAUGGAGUCGUCCUUGAAAUACCACCCUUUAACGUUUGAUGUUCUAACGAAGAUUACGAAACGUGGUCUCGGACAGUGUCUGGUGGGUAGUUUGACUGGGGCGGUCUCCUCCCAAAGAGUAACGGAGGAGCACGAAGGUUUGCUAAUGACGGUCGGACAUCGUCAGGUUAGUGCAAUGGUAUAAGCAAGCUUAACUGCGAGACAGACAAGUCGAGCAGGUACGAAAGUAGGUCAUAGUGAUCCGGUGGUUCUGAAUGGAAGGGCCAUCGCUCAACGGAUAAAAGGUACUCCGGGGAUAACAGGCUGAUACCGCCCAAGAGUUCAUAUCGACGGCGGUGUUUGGCACCUCGAUGUCGGCUCAUCACAUCCUGGGGCUGAAGUAGGUCCCAAGGGUAUGGCUGUUCGCCAUUUAAAGUGGUACGCGAGCUGGGUUUAGAACGUCGUGAGACAGUUCGGUCCCUAUCUGCCGUGGGCGUUGGAGAAUUGGUUGGGGCUGCUCCUAGUACGAGAGGACCGGAGUGGACGCACCACUGGUGUUCCGGUUGUGUCGCCAGACGCAUUGCCGGGUAGCUAAGUGCGGAAGAGAUAAGUGCUGAAAGCAUCUAAGCACGAAACUUGCCUUGAGAUGAGUUCUCCCUGUCUUUAAGACAGUAAGGGUUGUUUAAGACUAAGACGUAGAUAGGUCUGGUGUGUAAGCGGUGUGAGCCGUUGAGCUAACAGAUACUAAUUGCCCGAGAGGCUUAACUAU
rnacentral:rRNA from 1 species